AUGAGGGGGGCGACGUACGAGCUCACCACGGGGCUUGUGGACACCUCGGUUGCCGCGGGGAUGGACCGUAGCAGCGGUGGCGACGGCGAGAUGGGGUCGGCCGGAGGAAGAAGAAGGGCUCGAUCCCGGCGAUGGAGUGGAUGUCGGCUCGAGCUCGUGGACGCGGAUGAUGAAGCGGACGACGACGGAGAGCGUGGACAAGCAACUUCUUGUCCUGAAAUUUGUGUCGUGCAGGCAAAACUGAAAGAAGUGAAGAACAUGAAUUGGUGAGGCCCGCUGCCUCCACACAAGUUUGGUAUUUCUGCAUGGACUUACGAUGCUGUCAAGGCUGUGUUUGCCGUGGACAAGAUAACUGAUACGAAAUACGGGAAACUGCAGCUGAUGGCCAAGCAUGCUAUAGACUACAACGUGUUUGGUGGGCCUCAAAACUUUGGAAAGUGGAUGGACGUGCAAUCAGCUCCAUCUUGUCCUGUUGAGUUUGCAUCCGGAAUGACCAGCUUGCUCGGGAAAUUGGUUGAGGGUUGGACGUCCCUUAAUGGCUCUGACAGCGACACGGUUGCGAGGCAGUUCACCCCAUUUGUUGCAGAACGGACACAUCGGCCAACUGGUUGCCGUGGUCGGUAUGACUACAAUAGCUCGCAUGAGCUUCCUGACACGCAAGAUGAACUAGAUGGAGAUGCUGCUCUCGACAAGGACGAUGAUGAUGACAUGGAGAACGUGCAACAUGACACCGACGAUGAUGAACAUGUUGAAGUUCGUGCAAGUGCUGUUCAGAUUGCCACGUGGGCUACUGACAUCAGUCCCACAUUGCAACUGUUGUUCCUCCCAUGCUCUAUUUCUUUUUACUACAUGGCAACUCCUGCUUGGGUGAAGAAGACUACCACACGCGUGACCAAGCAGAACCCCAGAGACCCACUCGAACGUAUACACUCAAAGUUGUCGAUAGGUGGCAACUCAGACGUUCAUGAGGCGCCAGUGGACAAACCUGCUGCUGCAGUGUCCACUGUUCCCACUAGCUCUGAUGCAAGCGGCCGAGCACCUCCGCUGGUUGCAGAUGUGCAGGCUAAGACAGCAGGCAUCCGUACAUCUGGGAGUGACGAUUUGCAAGUGUUGAAGUGGACGCCCCCCAAGAUCAACCUAAACAAGGAAGAUUCCCGCUCAUCUGACAUGGAUUCCAAGCGGGUGGGUGGUGGCACUUCUGCGUCCACGAAAGAAGGGGCUGAGGCGACAGUUCAUAAUGAUAUGCCAUCCACAGGUGAGACUCUUGGCACAACAACUCCAACUUCUGGUGCUCCAGAGGUUGCUAAGGUGUCCGUUACGCGAGCUGGUCUUCCACUUAGGCGUCGUAGCCCCCGCAAGCAAUCUACAGACAUACCCAACGCGCUGGCUGUAGCUAGGAGCAGCAGAGAUGACUCUGGUUAUGUGCCUGCGUCCACACUGUUCCCACCACCUGCCAGAAACAAUGUUAUGGAGAGAACGGAAGACCGGAGUACAACCGACCCAGGUGGCAAGCCGGGCAUGACUGACGAAGGUGAACGUGCGGAGCAGAUUGCGUCUUUACCCUCCGUGGAUAACCCUAGCUUAAAUCUGCGCACUUCUAAGCUCCCAGUCAACAUCGGUGUCCCCUACAGCCCAAACAAGAUUGUCAAGAAAGCUGCGACUAAUACCGCUGACAGCAUGCCCCGCCCUACAAAUAAGCCCGAUGAUUCUGCAGCGGCCGAUGCAGAAAUGUUUGUUGAUCUUUCACCCUUGGAUUCUGCCCAGCAAGUUGUUCGCGGUCUGGCUAGUAGGCAGGAGAGGCACCCAAUGGCCUUCACCCCACCGAGCUUUAGCCUUGGCAUCAGUAAGGAUCAACCAGUGGUGCAAGAUCCUACGCCAGUUGCCUUUGCUUUCCCGGCAGGCAUGGCCCCAAUGAUGGCGCAGCCAAUGGUUGAGGGCAAGAAGGCUGUCAAGUUCGCAGAGCCGGUUGUGCAAGCCACCCCUGAGGAGAUUACGCCGUCACUUGAUGAAGCUUACUGCAGGAUUGAGGAGGCAGCAUUGCAGAGGAGAACCAAGAUCAUACAAUGUGAUGUGACGUACGUUGACCUGGGUGAUCUUGCCGAGUCUGUGAGGCCACUCGGUAAAAUGUCAAAGAAUGUAGUUGCAUGUGGGAUUGACAUCAUCAACAGGCAUAUGGAUAUGUCUCCCGACAAAACAAUCAUGCAGUACACUGUGAUGUGCAAAAUAUGGGAUGGUGACUUCCACCACAAAAUCCUGAGGAAGCAUUUUGCUGCGCAUGAAGCUGAUGCAGACCUUACUACACAUGCUGAAUACUUCAUCAACAACCUCAAAGAGACAUGGAACCAUCACUAUGAACACUCAAAAGUCCAGAUCAGACAUUUUCCAAUUGAGUACGUGGCGACUACGAAGCAAGGAAACCGGCACGACUGCGGCUUCCACACAUUGGAAUACCUUGCAAAGUGGGAAGGUCGACGGGUUCCUGUCGUCACAGCUGCAGUGGUCGUCGAGCUCCGCAAAAUUUACACAUGGAACUGGUUGAUGAAUGAAGAUUUCAACACGCGGUCCAACGCACGUGAGUUCAUAGAGGAAGCUGUGAACAAAGCUGCCAAGAAGUACAAGUGA
rnacentral:rRNA from 1 species